UGGGGAAUAUUGCACAAUGGGCGCAAGCCUGAUGCAGCCAUGCCGCGUGUAUGAAGAAGGCCUUCGGGUUGUAAAGUACUUUCAGCGGGGAGGAAGGGAGUAAAGUUAAUACCUUUGCUCAUUGACGUUACCCGCAGAAGAAGCACCGGCUAACUCCGUGCCAGCAGCCGCGGUAAUACGGAGGGUGUAAGCGUUAAUCGGAAUUACUGGGCGUAAAGCGCACGCAGGCGGUUUGUUAAGUCAGAUGUGAAAUCCCCGGGCUCAACCUGGGAACUGCAUCUGAUACUGGCAAGCUUGAGUCUCGUAGAGGGGGGUAGAAUUCCAGGUGUAGCGGUGAAAUGCGUAGAGAUCUGGAGGAAUACCGGUGGCGAAGGCGGCCCCCUGGACGAAGACUGACGCUCAGGUGCGAAAGCGUGGGGAGCAAACAGG
rnacentral:rRNA from 1 species